GAAAAGCAGUUUGAUGGCCGUGUGAAGAGUUUGCACCCAAACAUACACGGUGGUAUCCUAGCUAGAAGAGAUGUGGAGCAUCAUAUGGAAGCUCUUAAUGAGCAUGGCAUUGGUACAUUUGAUGGAAAUUUAUUGUGGAACCGAACUCUUCCUCCUCCAUCUCCAAUAAGACCUGAAAGAUUGGAUUGGAUGUUUCAGAUAAUCCAACGGCAAAACAAAACCCUGCCUUCUCUGGUGUACACAGAGAAGUGUCCUUUCUUACACUGCCUCCACUUCUCCAUCAUAUUGGUGAGUUUAAGACUCUUGCAUGAUCCUUUCUUCAUAUGUUUCGACUCUGAUGUCUCUGCUCUUUGAUCUGUUACCAACAUAAUACCAUUGUGUAUACUAUUUGUUAGACUGUUACUGUCUGAAGCUAUACCUUCCUCUCUCUCCAUGUAUAUAUACUACAAAACGUGAUUAGUGUUUGUGAAAAUAUCUCGAACAAAAAAUUUGAUUCUUAAAUAACUAAUAAAAGGAAUAUGAAUUUCUUAAAAAAAAAUAAUUCAAUAACAUAAAAAUAAUUCUGAAAAUGAGAAUUUAUUUUACAAUAACAAAUAUUCCGUGUGAAACACAAGAAAUACGAGAAUCUAAAAAAAAUUAUAAAAAUGGAAUAAGUCACAUGAUUUUAAAAGAUUUUUAACAAUUAAUUGAGAAAAAUAUAAUAAAAUAGAACUAAAAGAAUUAAUUAUAAAAAUAAAUGAAAAUUGUAUUUAUAUAAUAACACAUUAAAGAAAUCAUAUGCAAAUAAAUGUAGUAACUUCAUGAAUUUCAAAGAGAGUUUCAAUACAACUAAUUUAAUAGUGAUAUGAAAAUAUUUUUUUUGUAAUUAUAAAUUGUAAAUUGAAACGUAAUAAAAACGAUAAGAUAUAGAAGUAUAAAUGAAAGUAGAAAAUAUAAAAUAAACCAAUCAAAAUAUUUAUAUUACCAAAAUAAAAAAAGAACACAUUUCUUUUGAAAUCAUCUCAACCAUCAACGUAUAAAUUUACUUAAUUUCAAAAAAUAGUGAAAAUUCAUAAUAAACCCUAUAAAAUAAAGUAACCACAAAAAUAAUUAUUCAACCCACAUAUAUCCAAACUUUCUCAAAUAAGAACAACUAUUAAACCAAUUAUAUAUACGUAACGAAUGUGUUUUUCUUUGCUUUUAAUUUUAAUUGUAAUAUAAAGAAUUUAAAAUAUCCCAAAACCGUUCAGUUCAGAUGAAUGACUCUAAAAGUCAGUGUAUGAGAUUAAGUAAGAAAAUAUUUACUAAAUAUAUGCAAGAAUUAUUAUUAGAAAAAAAACCAAAUAAUUUUGAUUUUGAAACAAAACUACCACAACUGUGGUGAGAUAACUAUCUAUAUGCCAUUAUUUUGUUAUGCACAUGAGAACAUGAGGAAUGCAUAAAAUUUAUGGAUCGUCAUGAACCAAAAAAACCAACAUGUCUCGGGCAGACAAAUGCUGAGAUAGAUCAAACGUUCCUUAUGCGGUGUUUCUAUAUUGAAAAAGAAAUGUUAUGGGACUAAUAUGAUCUUUACAAUGCCAGCCACCACAUCUCAAUAAUCUCGAAAAACGAUAUAUUGAUUGUUAUUACUAUAAACAAAUGGAGAAGUUUUUAGUGUUGGUUUUACGGUUAUUGACAAGUGCCUACACUCAUCGGCCACUAUUCAGUUUUUACAUUUUCCAGUUUCAAUGUGUUCUUAUUUUGAUUAGCUUUGCACUAAUACAUUCUUCUCAUUUAAUUUAACAUUUUACUUUUAAUAAGAACUGCAACUUCAAAUAAUCACCACUUUCGUUCCAAUAGCAUGUCGAAAAUCUAUGAUUUCAACAUAAAGGAUAAUUACUUUUAUAACAUACAUAAAAAUUACCCACAACCAAAUUCUUCACAGCCUAAAUAUUACAAAUCACAAAUAACAUACCAAAUACAAAAUCAAUUUUUUUUGUAAAAUAGAACAACAU